UGCGUAGGUGGUUAGGUAAGACCUGUGGGAAAGACCUGGGCUUAACCCAGGAAGGUCGCAGGUGACUGCCUGGCUAGAGGGCGGGAGGGGAGCGCGGAAUUCCCGGUGUAGCGGUGAAAUGCGUAGAGAUCGGGAGGAAGGCCGGUGGCGAAGGCGGCCCUCUGGCGCUGAACUGACACUGAGGCGCGAAAGCGUGGGGAGCAAACAGGAUUAGAUACCCUGGUAGUCCACGCCCUAAACGGUGGGUACUAGGUGUAGGGCUCGUAAGGGUUCUGUGCCGAAGCGAAAGCAUUAAGUACCCCGCCUGGGGAGUACGGCCGCAAGGUUGAA
rnacentral:rRNA from 1 species